rnacentral:rRNA from 1 species
GACGGGGGGGGCCAGUGUUAGUCAUAUUGAUUGGGCGUAAAGGGUGUGUAGACGGCUGAUUUGAACUGUUUGUGAAAUUCCACCUCGAGGGUGGUACUUGCCAGUUAUCGGUUGGCUAGAGUGGUGGGGAGGGGUGUAGUACUUCUAGUUUAGACGUGAAUGUCGACGAGAUUGGAGGGACUCUCAGCGGCGAAGGCGGCUUACCCACCUACUACUGACGUUGAGGCACGGAGGCGUGGGGAGCAAACGGG